rnacentral:rRNA from 1 species
UCCGGGGGGGGCAAGCGUUGUUCGGAAUUACUGGGCGUAAAGGGCUCGUAGGUGGCCAACUAAGUCGGACGUGAAAUCCCUCAGCUUAACUGGGGAACUGCGUCCGAUACUGGAUGGCUUGAGUUUGGGAGAGGGAUGCGGAAUUCCAGGUGUAGCGGUGAAAUGCGUAGAUAUCUGGAGGAACACCGGUGGCGAAGGCGGCAUCCUGGGCCAACACUGACGCUGAGGCGCGAAAGCCGGGGGAGCAAACAGG